rnacentral:rRNA from 1 species
GAUGAACGCUGGCGGCGUGCCUAAUACAUGCAAGUCGAGCGAACAGACCAUGAUCUUGCUCCUCGGACGAUAGCGGAAGACGGGAGAAUCACACGAGUAUCACCUACCUAUCAUACUGAUAUCACUUCGAGAAAGCGGAUCUUAUACCAGAUAAUAUCCUGAACCGCGUGGUUCAAUAGUAAAAGACGGUUUUGCGUGUCACUUAUACAUGGAUCCUCGCCUCGUUAGCUAGUUAGUGACGUAACGGCUUACCAACGCAACGAUGCGCAGACAACCUGACAGGGCGAUCUGCCACUCAGAAACUGACACAACUCCCACACUCCUACGGGAGGCAGAAUAAUGGAAUCUUCCCCAAUGCCUGAAAGCCUGACGGAGCAACCCCGAUUAAGUGAUGAAGGUCUUCAGAUCCUAUCACUCUGUUAUUAGGGAAAAACACAUGUGUGAGUAACUAUGCACCUCUUGACUGCACCUAAUCAGACAGCCACGGGCUAACUACGUGCCAGCAUCCGCGGUAAUACUUAAGUGGCAAGCGUCAUCCGGAAUUAUAUGGCCGUCAAACGCGCGUAGGCGGUUUUUUAACUCAGAUGUGAAAGCCCACGGCUCAACCGUGGACGGUCAUUGGGAGACUGGAAAACUUGAGUGCAGAAGAGGAAAGUGGAUUCCAUGUGUAGCGGUGUAUGCGCAGAGAUAUGGAGGAACACCAGUGCGAAAGGCGUCUUCCUGGUCUGUACCUGACGCUGAGAUGCGAAAGCGUGGGAAUCAAACAGGAUUAGAUACCUGGGUAGUCCACGCGGUAAACGAUGAGUGUUAAUUGUUAGUGCGUUUCCGCGCUUUAGUGCUGCAGCUAACGCAUUAAGCACUCCGCCUGGGGAGUACGACCGCAAGGUUGAAACUCAAAGGAAUUGACGGGGCCCCGCACAAGCGGUGGAGCAUGUGGAUUAAUUCGAAGCAACGCGAAGAACCUUACCAAAUCUUGACAUCCUUUGACACCUCUAGAGAAAGAGUUUUCCUCUUCGGGGGUCCAGACUCACAGGUGGCACAUGGUGUUCAUCAUCUCGUGUCGAGAGAUGGUGGAAAUAGUCGCGCAGACGAGCGCACCCGUUAAGCUUAGUCACCAUCAUAAGUGGGGCACUAUAAGAGGCCUCCGGGUGUACAAUCCGGAGAAAGGGGGGGAGGAGGUAAAAUAUCCAUCCCCUUAUGUACAGGGGUUCCACCAGUGUUCCAAGGGUCAAUCCAAGAGGCAGGAACAUCUGAAGGUCAAGCAAUUUCCAUAAACUGGUUUUCAUUUGGGAUGGUAUUCGCCAAUUGGCCUAUAGGAAUCGGGAUUGGUUGGUAUUGCUAAUUAACCAUGCUACGGUGAAUACGUUCCCGGGUCU